UCCCUGGCAUCUUCAAGUGACUUGAAUAUGUAUCUGUGCAUCACACUCCAUGGCUCAGAAUCUUGAAGGUACGAAGGCAGAUCUCUGCAUUCUAUGGCUUCCACACCAGGUUCUAAUUCCUCCUGAGAAAGAUCAGAUUAGGUCAAGAUGGAAUAAUCAAAUCAAGAAUAAAUUGUCUAAAAAGUAAAAAGUGUAAUAAUACUAAGAAAUGUGGAGAUUUUGCUUCAAAUUUGAAGAGUUUAAAAUGAUGUUUAAGAGCGGUACCUUGAGAAUCGAAGUGGCCAUGGCGUCUUAGAAGGUGGAUGUGAUAGUACAUGGUGAAGGCUAAAGCCGGUUCCGUCCAAAACGAAAUAUGAACAAGGCAGUGCUUCUUAGCCACCGCCGACGGCCACACGAAGAAAGAGUCGGCUAUGAGAUACGACACCGGCGGAUUUACAUCGGAGCUUAGUAGGUUUCCGAUGAACUCAUCGACGAUAACCGGGAAGGCGAGCAACAAUCCUUCCAUAAACUCAUUGUGAUUUCUGGAACGGUCAAAACUGAGGGGAAAACCGUCGCUGAGUGUGACGUAGCGAAUGUCGAAGCCGUGAAGGUUCCUCUGAUCGGAGAAAAUGUCUUCGUCGUCGGGAGAUUCUCCGGUGAGUGAGCGGGCUAGGGUUAUUUUGGAGUGAGUUAUCUGUGUGUUGAUGAAGGUGAUGGUGAAGCCGUUUGAAGCGAGCUUGAGUGCGAGCUCCACGGAAGGGAUUAAGUGGCCUUGAAGAGGGACUGGCACCAUGAUAGCAUGAGGCUUCAUAUGCUGCUCUGCCGCUGCCGCCAUUGUUGUGUUUGGUUCAAGCUUCGUUGAUUGCCUGUAACUCUAUCAUUGCCACCGUUUAAUAUAUUAUAAAUUUUGUCUGCACAUCA